CUUCAAGGUCAGCAUAACUCUGCACAUGAGAUGUAACAAGGGUUGGAGAGGGUUAAUUGGAACUCCAUCUAAAAGCAAUCUAUCCUUAUCAGGUGAAUAUCCCUGAAAGUCUGAUCACACCAAACACAAAACAGUUGGAUCAGAGAGUCCUCCUACAUUUUGAAGUAGUCUUCAUUAACUUCUUGGAGAUGAGAUACUUCCAAUAAUCAAAGGUUGGCAGACGCUGCAUUCAGGAGAUUGCAGGUGGCAAAAUGAACACGACCCACACGAGCAGAAUGAGAAGUAGGAGAAGCUGUCCACGGCUGGGAACAGAAGAAGAGUGUAGUAAUGUGAUUAUGGUCAAAUUCUGUACUUAACAGCAACAUUUCAGGAAUGUGGACUGUGCAAAAUCAACACAAGACUUACUCCAUAUUCUGCUCCUCAGGAAAAAAAAAAUACUGUGAGAGAAUGGUUUAUACCAGAUGAAAUGGAUUUGGAUUAAGAAAAGACACAUGGUACAGACUAUGGGUGGAAUGGAACAAACUAAUACAUGCCUGUCAAAUAUUGCAAAAUUAUAUCAAGAGUCAAAGACAGAGACUGAAAACAAUUUGACUUCAAGGAGAGAUCGGCUGGCAAAUAGGGUACCAAAGACACCUCAAAGACUUCACCCAGUGGCUGUAGAUUUCUUAGCUUUCUUUCUCCUUCCUAUUUCCAGACUGUCUGUUUGAUAAGUCAACUCUAUGAUUUUGAUGAGCUUUGUUGUCUUUCUCUUGUAUUAGCAAAAUAAUUAUCUGUCAAACAAAAGAGAGGUCACUCAUUUGGAUGGGGAUUGUAGUAUAACCAUUACAUUCUUGUCAUGUGGAGUUUGUAAAGAGAUCCUUAAUCAAAGCAUCACCCUUGACUUAACACCAUUGUGCAUAUGAACUGCUGAACAUAUGGUGCUUUAUUCUAUAGCCUAGCAGCCCAGGCGGAUUUCCCACACCAUGGACAUUUCUUUACAAGAAGAGAGUAAUGCUUCAGGGCAACUAGUGCCAAAGCUAUGAAUAUUCUAAAUAUCUAAAGAAAUGUUCCUCUUAUGACAACUGACCACAGAACUUGUCCUUUCAACCUGUGUAAUCUGGAAACAGCUUACAAUAAUUUGACUUUGAGAAGAUUUGCUGAGGCUGUAUUCACAUUUUUAGGGAAAUAUUGACCAACUUUGUAUUUUAAAGGCCUUUUUUAAUGAUCUUGUCUCAAUGUUUUAAAGACAUUUAAUUGAGCUGUAAUAGAUUGAUGGAUGUCUUAGUGGAAAUAAAAAAAUAAUACUGACAUUUAUUUUCUUUCUC
rnacentral:lncRNA from 1 species